GGUCCAUAGCUGAGCGGUAGAGCAUCUGCCUUGUGUGCAAAAGUCCCCAGGUUCAAUUCCUGACAUCGCCA